UAGACAUCUGCAAUAUAAAAUAAAUUUAACUCGUCUAUAAUAUAAAGAAUUCAUAAUUUAUAUUUGCAUUUCACAUUUUACGUGGUAUUCAUAAAAUAUAAUUUUGAUUAAUCAUAUUUAAUUCGAGUAUCUAACUUUUCUUUUGGCAUUCUAGAAUCCUAUUCUAAUAGUAAGCAAUAUUGAACAAUUGUUUAAAUUGUGAUAUUUCAAUUGUGCUUAAUUCAUUCAAGAUGAAUUUUUUGAACUCCUUGCAAAAACUAAAGACGUGGUCGGCAGAUUCCUAUUCGUUUAUUCAACGGUUAUUAGGAAUCGUGUAUUUAUUCAUUCUGGACUCGCUCAUGCCCGGCGAAGUCGAUAUCGCCGAUGCGCCUGGAACAAUUAUUGACGAGCGCCUCGGUGCAUUAGAGGACGCCGUCCGGCUACUCUCGGCCGAGUUCGCGCAGUUCAAGUUUAACCACGCGCUCACAAACCAGGCUUCAAUUCAAACAGUUCAAUCAGUAACAAAUCGCGCUCCAACAAAUCGCGCGACGCUAAUUCAAGCGCCAACCAAUCGCGCGCCAACAAAUUGCGCGCCAACAAAUAGCGCUCCUCUAAUUCAAACCUCUGGACAAACCCAUACAAUCCCAAAGUCGUGGUGUUAUUACCACGUCCGGUUCGGAAAAGAAGCGUACAAGUGCUCUAGCGAGCUUUGCACGUUCACGCCAAAGAUAUCGACAAAAAAUAAAACAUUUAAGAAGACGUUAUAUACCUCUAAUAAACCGGAAAAAUGCACCUACCCGUGCUCUGAAUGGAGAGACUUUUAGUAUAUUCAGACCUUAGUCUUAGUCUUUAUGUUUAUCUUUAUCUUUAUGUUUCUUUCUUUAAAAAAUGUUUUCUUUUUUUUUUCUUAUCUUUAUUGUAAAUUGUUAUAUAAAUAAAACUUAUCAAGAAAAUAUAA